rnacentral:rRNA from 1 species
AUGGCCUCCCUCGCCGCCGCCUCCGCCUCCACGGCGCUCCUCUUCCCGCCCUCCACCUCCUCCUCCAAGCCCCGCCUCCCGCUCUCCACAUCCCUCGGCUUCUCCGCGCCCGCGCGGUCACGCCGCACGGCGGCCGCGGCGGCGGGGAGCUCCGGCAGGCGCCCGGGGCUGCUCGUCGUGCGCGCCGCCAGGGGCAAGUUCGAGCGGAACAAGCCCCACGUCAACAUCGGCACCAUCGGCCACGUCGACCACGGCAAGACCACCCUCACGGCCGCGCUCACCAUGGUGCUCGCCUCCGUCGGGGGCAGCGCGCCCAAGAAGUACGACGAGAUCGACGCCGCCCCCGAGGAGCGCGCCCGCGGUAUCACCAUCAACACCGCCACCGUCGAGUACGAGACGGAGACGCGCCACUACGCGCACGUCGACUGCCCCGGCCACGCCGACUACGUCAAGAACAUGAUUACCGGGGCCGCCCAGAUGGACGGCGCCAUCCUCGUCGUCUCCGGCGCCGACGGCCCCAUGCCGCAGACCAAGGAGCACAUCCUGCUCGCCAAGCAGGUCGGUGUCCCCAGCAUUGUUGUUUUCCUCAACAAGAAGGACCAGGUCGACGACGAGGAGCUGCUCGAGCUCGUCGAUCUCGAGGUCCGCGAGCUGCUCACGGCCUAUGAGUACGAUGGUGACAAUGUGCCAAUCGUCUCCGGCUCUGCACUCAGAGCGCUCGAGGCCCUCAUGGCCACCCCUGGCCUCAAGCGUGGGGAUAACGAGUGGGUGGAUGGCAUCUUCUCCUUGAUUGAUUCCGUGGAUACCCACAUCCCUGUCCCGCAGAGGCAGACCGACCUCCCCUUCUUGCUCGCUGUUGAGGAUGUCUUCUCCAUCACUGGUCGUGGUACAGUUGCCACUGGCCGUAUCGAGCGUGGCACCGUCAAGGUUGGGGACCCAGUCGACCUCGUGGGCAUCAGGGAGACCCGCAAUGCCACCGUCACUGGUGUUGAGAUGUUCCAGAAGACCAUGGAUGAUGCCAUUGCUGGGGACAAUGUUGGGCUUCUGCUCCGUGGUAUGCAGAAGGAAGACAUUGAGAGAGGCAUGGUGUUGGCAAAGCCCGGUUCCAUCACGCCACACACCAAGUUUGAGGCUGUUGUGUAUGUGCUCAAGAAGGAGGAGGGUGGCCGGCACUCCCCAUUUUUCCCUGGUUACCGUCCGCAAUUCUACAUGCGGACUACUGAUGUCACGGGGAAUGUGACAAACAUUAUGAACGACAAGGAUGAGGAGGCAAAGAUGUGCAUGCCGGGUGACCGUAUCAAGAUGGUUGUGGAGCUCAUCCAGCCUGUGGCUUGUGAGCAGGGAAUGAGGUUUGCCAUCCGUGAAGGUGGCAAGACCGUCGGUGCCGGUGUCAUCAAUAAUAUCAUUCAGUAA